CUACGGGUCGCAGCAGUGGGGAAUAUUGCACAAUGGGCGCAAGCCUGAUGCAGCCAUGCCGCGUGUAUGAAGAAGGCCUUCGGGUUGUAAAGUACUUUCAGCGGGGAGGAAGGGAGUAAAGUUAAUACCUUUGCUCAUUGACGUUACCCGCAGAAGAAGCACCGGCAACUCCGUGCCAGCGAGCCGCGGUAAUACGGAGGGUGCAAGCGUUAAUCGGAAUUACUGGGCGUAAAGCGCACGCAGGCGGUUUGUUAAGUCAGAUGUGAACUCCCCGGGCUCAACCUGGGAACUGCAUCUGAUACUGGCAAGCUUGAGUCUCGUAGAGGGGGGUAGAAUUCCAGGUGUAGCGGUGAAAUGCGUAGAGAUCUGGAGGAAUACCGGUGGCGAAGGCGGCCCCCUGGACGAAGACUAACGCUCAGGUGCGAAAGCGUGGGGAGCAAACAGGAUUAGAUACCCUCGUAGUC
rnacentral:rRNA from 1 species